rnacentral:lncRNA from 1 species
UCUCUCUCACUCAUCUCCUCUUCAGAAACCUCCAAAGAAACCCUAGCAUCGCCAUUAAAAUCCCCAACCCUCUCCGGUGGCGGCGCCGCCUCAAAUCGGCCCCAAAUUUACACCACAUAGCCCUUAGCCCAUCCUCUUUCCAUAACCCAAAAACACAUUCUUCUAAGCCCUCUACAUCUCGUCGAAUUUCAAAUCUGAGGUGGAAACCCUAAAUCCCAAAUCUUCCAAAUUGGUAGUUUCAACGAAGGAUUUGAGGCUGAAGUUGAUUUUAUUCGUGCGUUUUCAUUGAGAACACACGAUUAAUGUCCAUUUCAUCAAAAUCGAGAGAUGCAGGAAUCAUUCAAGAUCUUGUUUGCCUGGGUUUAGGUAUUUCAGUUUCUCUUUCUUUCAUUUUUCUUUUCAUUUUCAUCCCUAGUUCUUCAUCUUCUUCUGUUUCUUUUCCUUCUCUUUCCUUUUUAUUUUAAAAUUUUUUCUGCAUGUCUGUAAUUCUAACCAGUAUAUUUUGUUUCUUUUGUUUUAGUUCUCGCUUAAAUUUCCCUCCUGUUUGUUUUGCUUUAUUUGGAAUCUUUAGUUCCAGGAGUUCACAUAACUCCAAGUUGUUCCUUUUCUUGAAUCUCUCUGUUGGAUUUCGAUUGAAUUGGGCUAUGUUAAUUAGAGGCCCAGAAAAAGGGGAUUAGCUCUAGUUUGGUAAACCCAUGUUUGGUUAGUCUUGGGUCCAAAUUGACCCAUAUUUAUGCUGGGGUAAUUAAUAGGGGUUACAAGGGUAAUUCAGGAUUUUUAGGUUAGAGAAUCUCUCAUAAUUAAUUGGGAAACUUCUAGGAAGAUAGGGUUUGGGACUGUUUUAAAAAAUAGAAUUUAAAUGUAAGGACUAACUAGCAAAAAUGAGAAUUUAAAAAGGAGUAAAGGGCAAUAACUUGACUCAUUUCUGGUGCCCUAAAGCGUUUCUAUAAAAGGGUGUAACUUCUUAAUCAAGAGAGAAUGAUUAGAGAUUAAAAAAUACUGAAAAUUUUAGAAGUAGCUGAGUCAGAAAUUAUUAAAAAAUUCUUACAAUUUUGGUGAAGAAUCUGGUUCUGGUUUCCUAUUUUUUUCUCAAAUCUCUAUAGUCGAACUUUCCUCAAUAAUGGUUGUUCAUUCUGGGUUCAAAAUGGUUUAAAGUUUGGUUUGUUGCUGUUUGGUUUUGCUGGAGUUACUGUUGUCGUUUCCCCUCUUGUUGAGUUACUACUGCUGCUUUUUCAUAACCUCAUGUUGUUGUGUUGUUUAUUUUCCGUACUCAGGUACAUAUCUCUGAUUCUGAACAUGUAAGAAUGGCUCGUUUGGCUUGAAGAAAUGAAGAUCUCCUCAUUUACUCGAUGCUUUCUCUUAUCCUUUCAUUCAACUUGUUAAUUCAUUUCUUCUGUUUUAGCAUGCUAAAAAGUGAUGUUAUGCCAUGAACAUUUGAGACUUAUGCCGAGGGUUGUAUUUGGACUCUUAUUUGUGCUCGUAAUUUUAGCUUGUUUUGAAUACUUUCUCCUGAAUUUUGGAUAGUUAUACAGUCAUGCAUGAGCUCAAUGUGAGAUAGUUAAUACCACUUUAGGUUUUCUUUUGAGUAAGAUGUUGCAUUCUUAGUGAUAUUCGAUUUCAGGUCAUUCUUCACAAAUGACCAAGUAAAUGAUUUAGACUGUUUCAAGCUCAUGUUGAA